rnacentral:sRNA from 1 species
CUGGAACGUAAAGGUUUUGACGCAUUCUCUGUCACGAAGAGUCCAUCCGCGCUUACACGCGAAGGCCUCGCAUUUGCCGUCAGAACAAGUUACGGAACCUCGUAGUACACCAGGAAGGGCAGUGCAGCUGUUAAAAGCCAAAGACUGUCAGCCACCACUGUCUACAAUGAGCAAGCAACUCCGAAACUCACUCAGCGCCCAUGGGCUCGGAGGAAUUACCAUUGGCACUGUAAUCACCGUAACGGCAGCCACUGCAUGAUUCAAGUUCCGUAUUAGGGUCAAUGCACUAAUGUACAGUACAUUGAAGUCAGCUCCUAAUUCCUCUCAUUGUCUUCAAACAGCCCGAGUGCUCACUUCCCAAGAGUUAGCCACCCCGUCAAUGUUGCAGGCUCGCAUACCGGUAGGGCAGUCCCAGUUCCUCUCCUUUAUCACCUCAGACCUUUUCUGAGCAAGGAUUCUCUCGUGAGCUCGUUUCCUCUUGGGAAAGGCGCUAGCAGCCGCCGCAACCGAAUGGCUGUAAGCAUAGAACUGGCCGAGACCGCAUAAGGUAGGAGCACCAGAGACGAUAGUCUCGUCACCGCAAACACAACCAUAACGAGGAGUGAGGGUCGAAAGUCCCAAGAGGUAGGGGGUAUAGUACGCCGCCCGGGUAUCGGCACACAUCUGGAAACAGGCUGGGGGAGACGAGACAGUGGUACCGAGAACACCGGUAACAGUGUUGACCAAGGCGGAAAGCAGACUAGAUGAGGCAUAGCAGCCGGUAUAGGAGAAGGUGGAAGAAGUGUCAAAGACCUAUCGAAAUUUAUAUGAGUCAUAUACCUUUCUUUUGAGCUAAUUAACUUACACCAGCUUGAAGGAUAGGAAGGCAAUUAGUGGUGAGGGAGGUGCUGGGGGCGACAUAGUUGACAGGGCUAAUGACGCUGGCUUCACUACCACAGUAGCAGUUGUUACCAAUAAGAAUGCCGCCGACAUAAUAGGCGUAAGGGUAGCUUCGCCCGGCACAGUACGUCUAAUGCGAGUGUCAGCGCAUUCGAUCUAGGGAUCAUGCAUUUAAACAACUCAUUGAGCACACGCUAUUUGAACUCUGUCGGGAGCUCACACUACCAACAGCGGUCACUGCGGUUGUAAGGACACAAUCAAGCCAAGGUGAAUUGGCGUAGAUGACUGGGAGAGAGAGGAGAACGCCGAACAAGAAAGUCAUAAUGACCGAAAAAGAGUACAUCGUGGAGAUGUGACCUAAAUGAUAAUGGUCAAAGGAAGGGGGUGGGGUUGGAAAGAAUGAGUGCGGUGGGUAAGAGCUCAACUAUGCCAAUAUUUACGGA